rnacentral:rRNA from 1 species
AUUGAACGCUGGCGGCAGGCCUAACACAUGCAAGUCGAACGAGUGGCGGACGGGUGAGUAAUGUCUGGGAAACUGCCCGAUGGAGGGGGAUAACUAGUGGAAACGGUAGCUAAUACCGCAUACCAUCGGAUGUGCCCAUAUGGGAUUAGCUAGUAGGUGGGUUAACGGCUCACCUAGGCGACGAUCACUCGCUGGUCUGCGAGGAUGAACGGCCCCACUGGAACGGAGACACGGUCCAGACUCCUACGGGAGGCAGCAGUGGGGAACAUUGCACAAUGGGCGCAAGCCUGAUGCAGCCAUGCCGCGUGUAUGAAGAAGGCCUUCGGGUUGUAAAGUACUUUCAGCGAGGAGGCGUUACUCGCAGAAGAAGCACCGGCUAACUCCGUGCCAGCAGCCGCGGUAAUAC